rnacentral:rRNA from 1 species
UGGGGAAUAUUGCGCAAUGGGCGAAAGCCUGACGCAGCGACGCCGCGUGAGGGAUGAAGGUUCUCGGAUCGUAAACCUCUGUCAGAAGGGAAGAAAUUAUAUCAUGCUAAUCAGUGGUGUAUUGACGGUACCUUCAAAGGAAGCACCGGCUAACUCCGUGCC